rnacentral:rRNA from 1 species
ACUUACGACCACACCACCGUAAAUCAGGCUGGUCUGAUCUCAGAAGCUCAGCAGGUUUGGUCGGUACUUGAAUGGCUGAUACUAAAUGCUGUAAGUC